AGGAGCGCAAACUGCUCAGCACAGAUUGGGAGAAUUUCCCUCUGUGAUCCGAGAUUUUGUAUUUGAAGAAUAAUCGUCCAGAGCAGGAUGGGGAGGCAGAACUAGAGCUAGAAGAGAGUAGCCCUGGCUCGGGCUGCUUGAUCCGCCGGGGAACCAUUGUCAAGUUCCACGGCUCCGGCCACCUCCGCGUAGCUAAUUCAGAUGGCCAGGAGGGUGAUGAUGUUGAGAGGUGGACAGUCCAAGCAAGCUGUUGCAUUUACCAAGUAGGAUUCCCCAAAUGCACAGGAUUGGAUCAGCUGGUCAGAAAUCCAUCAAGGGAGCCAAAGAGCCACCGUUUCUCAUAUCUUGUAUUUCAAUUUCCCCAGCAUAAGGACACACUGAAUGCACUCAGCAUUCUUUGCAGAGUGCUGGACUCAGAGCCUCUCUUGUGGUUUCUAUGUUCUGUUUCUAACUUUUAUGAUCUCUUACACUAACUCUUGCCCCGCAGUGCAAGGAAGGCGGCUUUCCCCAGGACCUCUGGCUGGGCGUCAGCGCAGACGCCGUGUCUGUCUACAAGCGCGGGGAGGGGAGACCGUUGGAAGUCUUCCAGUACGAGCACAUUCUCUCCUUCGGGGCCCCGCUGGCCAACACGUACAAGAUCGUCGUAGAUGAGAGGGAGCUGCUCUUUGAAACCAGUGAGGUGGUGGACGUGGCCAAGCUCAUGAAAGCCUACAUCAGCAUGAUCGUGAAGAAGCGCUACAGCACCUCGCGCUCCGUGAGCAGCCAGGGCAGCGCCAGGUGAAGGUGGCCGUGAGCCCACCUGAACUGAGCAUCUCCACGUGCCGCCCCCUCGGCCCCAGCCGGCUCCCGCACCUGCAGCCCAAGGCGAGGCUGCCCAGGCUUCCCGGAAGCCCCUCGUCGGAGGGCGGUGUCCCGGGAGACCUUUCGCCCCGUCCACUCCAGUGACCGGUGUCCCAAGCUGUCGACCCAGUUUCCGAAGCUUUACUUCUUUUAGAUGACACAUGCCUUAAAAAGAGAGGAAAGGAAACCCACGCUGCCACCAAAGCAGCCAGAAGUGCCUUAACUUGUGGAACCGACACUAAUCCACCUUAACUGUGCUACUGAAGAGAAAUGCUUUCCCUCCCUUUCAGGGGAGACGUGCUAAGCUUGAGGCGGGUGGAGGGGGGGCGUUGAUCCAUCUGCUCUGCACUAACCUCCCAGCCUGAUUUCCCCCGGGAGGGAAGGUGAGGGAGUGGGGAGGGGGGACGGAGGGAGAACAAGAGGACGGUCUAUUUUAGUUGGAGUGCUGCUGGCAGCCUUCCUCAUGGACGCACGUUAACUUUUUCUCUGUGUUUCCUCUUUUCGGUGCAUGCGCCUGCCCGUGCACGCAUGUGUCCGUAAACCCCUCGCUUUCAUCAUUGCUCCGUGAGCACUGAAGGCAAAGGGAAAGAGGAUAUGCAACGGCCUAACGUCUGUGUAUUUUAAUAGUUCAGAGUGAGUGUCGGCAGCCGUUACUUUACAAGGUGGUUUUACUAACAGCCCGGAAUCCUGGAGUUUCCUGUCUUUGCUGUAUUCCGAAAGCCACAUUUUGACUCCAGUUCUGUUUCACGUGUAGCGAAGUCUGCAGUCUGUGUCUGCUGUAUUAUAAACAGAUAUGCAGCCUACAGAUAACUGUAUUUAUAAACCACUCUUAAACAGCUGGCUCCAAGGCUGUUUUUAGAACUGUAUGAAGGCAUUUUGGAGUCAUUAGUUUCUAUGAGAUCUAAGUUAAAAAAAUGUCUCUUGGAAGGUUAGCGCGUAUCACUCUGGGUAGAUUGCAACAUAACCAUGUUGGAAUAUGGGGGAAAGACGCUACCUUCCUGGAAAGCAUAACACAUGAGUGGAUCUUUAAAGGACCCUGACGUUCAAUGCUGAGGUUUUAAUAAAAUACACACCUAUUUUAUCCCACGUGUAUAAUGGUGGUCUGAACAAGGCCCCUGUAAAUAAAUCGGCAUUUAUGACCAGAAGAAAAAUAAUCUGGUCUUGGACUUCUAUUUUUAUACAGAGAAGUUGUAAAGACUUAGGCCAACUAAGUCUACCCACAAAGGGAAAGGAGAUUUGCCUUACCCCUAUGGACAGCCAUGCGGAAUCAUUGUUUGUUGGCUCAAGAAAGUCUGACAAUAAAAGAUAUUAGUUAACAUGCAGUGUAAUUUCUUUAUGGGGCAGCUCUAAAUACCAUACGGACUUUGUUUUUGUUGGGUUUUGGUUUUAAUGCUUUGGGCUUCAAAGGGUUGAAGCUGUGUGUUUCAUGCACUUGAUCACCGGGUCUAAAAGCAAACACGUAUAGACAUCUCAGCUGCUUUUUUAGACGCAGAGCGUGACUCCGAGAAAGCUGAGAAGGUCAAAGACCAGGUUCUAUGACAUCACAAGAGAUCUAAGGACUUGAAUUGUGGGGGUCGGAGCGCCUCCUGUAGCUGAGCCCCGGGAUGUCUGAUGGCGAAGUCAUGGCCCUGCAUCCACUGGCAGCCCUGAUCACUGUGAACGGAAUACAGCGGGAGCUUGUUUAGCGACCCAUUUACCCAAAGAACCAGCCGGGGACGUGGGUCUCACCUGCACAGGCUCCUCGGCCAGACACGGCACGUUAGCAGCACCAGUCCCCUCUGUCCCUCUCUAACCGCUUGUGUGUCCGUGUGUCUGGGUGUCCGGGAGACCCCUCUUCCCGCUCCACAGGGACUGGGAGACGCUGCCCCAGCACCUGUGGCCUCGAGGUGACGAGAGGGAAGGUGAGCUAAGACUCGGAUAUUUUAAUUGUCUUUGUGUUCAUUUCAGGCCCUGCGAGCAGCUGGCAGAAGUGCCUUUUCCACUGCCUACCACUCAGGAUUCCCUCUGUAACUUCUCACACCCCACAAGGCUGUCCCGCACCCCCAAUUACAGAUGAGGAAUUAGGUAGAGACAAGCAAGGUCACUCCGUUAUGGCGUGGGAGCAGCACCAGAGCUAGGACCCAGGUCUCUUUACACAAAGGCCUUUCCUCGUCAAUAGCUUCAUUGUAACAUUUUAUUUAGGAACAAUUAUAGAUUCAGAGGAAGUUGCCAUGAAGGUAAAGAGAGGCCUGUACACCCUUCACCGGGUGUCCCCCCGCCCGUGGUAACAUCUUACACAACCGCAGAAAAUACCACAACUAAGAAACUAACACUGACUUUUCCUCCAUCCACAGAGCUUAUUCUGAUUUCACCAGAUUGACACGCACUCAUAUGUGUGUGAGAUUAAUAGGUUUGAACGGGGCCCGGAGUCUGCUUAAUUGCAGAGAAAGGCGUCAAUAUGAAACACGGCAUCGCUGCAGACUUAGAAACCUAGUUGUUUUUUUCAUUUGUCUUAAUUUUUAAUUCUUUUGAAAGAGGAUACACAUAGGUGAGGUUUUUUUAAUUCAGUGGGAGUAAAGUGACUUUUCCUCCCUUCCAUGAUCCCGUUUACCCAUUUUCCUUCCCCAGAAACAGCUAUUUUUACCGUUUUCUGGAAUAUCGUUCUAGAAAUGUUUCGAGCAUACACUCACGUAAAUAUUCCCAUCCCCUUCCCUUUUAAAAAAUACAUAAAAGCAUAAAUUUUUUUGCACCUUGCUUUUUUUCCCCAGAAUAUUUUAGAUGUGAUUCCACGUGGUACCUCUAGAGGUGCCUAAUCCUUUUUGUGUCCUAGACAGCUUUGGAGAGAGGAAAAAAAAAAAAAAGGCCCCUUGAUUUCUCUCUUAAAAUAGUUCAGAAAUGUAAGAAAGCAAACUCUUUUUUUUACUCAGCACCUUAAGUUGAGAUCACAUAUACACUUAUAGUAAAAUUCUGUAUUUAAUCUAUCUCAUCCACUGGGAUCUUUGAUAUAUUCUAGGAAUAAGUGUAUGUCUACUGGGUAUAAAAGUACGUGCUUUAGAGAGCAUGAAAAUCCUCACCCACCAAAGCUUACUGUCUAGUAGGGACCAAAACAAGUACACGUAAAACUAAAUUUAACCAGCACCUUUAUGCCUGUUUUGUACAAUUGAUCAGAGAAGCAUCAUUGACAUGCGGGGAAAUAUUGGACCUGGAUUCGAGAUUUGGCAUUGCGACUUCCGGAGUAUAUAAUUUUGAUCUUUUCGGUCAGGGGUCAGGAAACUACAGCCCAAAGGCCAACCAGCUCUUUAAAUAAAGUUUUAUUGGAACACAUCUCUACCUGUUGAUUUGUGUGGUGUCUAGAGGUGUGGUUGCCCUACAACAGCAGCGCUGACCAGCUGUGACAGGACCUCCUGCAAAGCUGAACGUAUUUACUCUCGGGGCCUUUGUCGAGUUUGUGGACCCCGGUUUUAGAUGACUACAGAAGUAUACCAUCUCCUUUAGGACCAAUCGUUGGCUCCGUUUAGAAUUUUGACUGCACACGUUAGGCCAGGAAUAUAGUCUGCAGGUUGGAGAUUGUGCUUUGUGUUUCUUGUCCACUCUAUCGAAUGACCUCCCUGAUUUCCCUCCCUGCGUUUCUCAUCAUAGAUUGGCUUAGCAUCACCUCUCGUUUCUACUUGAUCAGUUCCCAGAUUUUGACUAGAGCUCCUCCAGGACAGAAACCGUCUUCCACACACACACCCCCAAGAGAGCCGGCGCGGUGCCCGCCGGGAGCGUCACGGGCUGAGCUCAGCCAGACACAGUGAACGAGUCCCAGCCUCGGCUCGCAGGAAGUUCUGGAGAUCAGACAAAUGCAGGAUGUGACAGAAGGGACAGCGUUCAACUUCCAAAGCCAAGUCAUGAAAAUGGACACAACAGCUUUUGUUUGACUCUCUCGGAACACGUGCUUUUGGAGCCCGACAGUCACCGUGCUGGAGAGACAAGGUGCAGAAGCUUAGGGAGAAAGGUGCCCGCGGCACCAAAUGUCAGCUAAUCCUACAAACAAAAAUAUGUUGGAGAUAGGAGGAGACGGGUUUAUAACCCAAUCUAUUCUACAGGGGUCCGAUGUAAUCACGUGUCACGAGGAGGCAGGAGAUCAGAUUCAGCAGUAGCAGAUGAGAAGGAAGCAAGAGGUCGUAGUGAUGCAGACGAGGGGCCACAAGCCAGGGAAUGGCAGCAG